rnacentral:rRNA from 1 species
GACGAACGCUGGCGGCGUGCCUAAUACAUGCAAGUCGAACGCUGAAGCUUGGUGCUUGCACCGAGCGGAUGAGUUGCGAACGGGUGAGUAACGCGUAGGUAACCUGCCUGGUAGCGGGGGAUAACUAUUGGAAACGAUAGCUAAUACCGCAUAAGAGUAGAUGUUGCAUGACAUUUGCUUAAAAGGUGCAAUUGCAUCACUACCAGAUGGACCUGCGUUGUAUUAGCUAGUUGGUGAGGUAACGGCUCACCAAGGCAACGAUACAUAGCCGACCUGAGAGGGUGAUCGGCCACACUGGGACUGAGACACGGCCCAGACUCCUACGGGAGGCAGCAGUAGGGAAUCUUCGGCAAUGGACGGAGGUCUGACCGAGCAACGCCGCGUGAGUGAAGAAGGUUUUCGGAUCGUAAAGCUCUGUUGUAAGAGAAGAACGAGUGUGAGAGUGGAAAGUUCACACUGUGACGGUAGCUUACCAGAAAGGGACGGCUAACUACGUG